CUCGUAGGCGGCUCUGUAAGUCGGGGGUGAAAGACCACGGCUCAACCGUGGAAACGCCUUCGAAACUGCGGAGCUUGAGGCCGGGAGAGGAGAUCGGAAUUCCUGGUGUAGCGGUGAAAUGCGUAGAUAUCAGGAGGAACACCGGUGGCGAAGGCGGAUCUCUGGACCGGUUCUGACGCUCAGGAGCGAAAGCUAGGGGAGCAAACA
rnacentral:rRNA from 1 species